GAAGUGUGUUGAAUACUCACAGCCACGUCUGGACCGGACCUGCCCUUUCGUGCUGCCAUAGCCCGGCACUUCGGCUGAAACCUGAGCCUGGUGUCCCCUCUCUCCCUCCUUGGUUAUCUACUCCCCAGCUUUGAGAGAGCCAACAGGAUAUUUAAUACCAAGCCACCUCCGGAAAGCAAAUGACUGCUGCCAAGCGCAGGGAGGGGGUCAGAGCUGCAGGUACCACCUCAGGAACAGCAGAGGAAAAGCAGCCCCACAGAUAUGCCCAGGAGCCUGGCAACUCACAGGUGGCUGCUAAAUCCUAUACACAGGCAUCAUGCUCUACAGACUUGCAGACAUCCAAGCUGUGAAGAGUCAGGAGGCUGCUGCCAGCAAUUCUACAAGAGAGAAGCCUCAGAUCAGGACUUUAAGUGCUCCAAGACCUUCUAAAGUUGAAAACUUGGGACAGCACAUCAGAUUGUGCUUCUACUCUCCUUCCCUUUCUUUUCCUUCAGGAAAAAUCUCCCCUUGUCUGCUGACAAUCUAAAUUUUCCCUUUCCCUCUGUCCUGGUUUCAGAGUCAAUUAAUUCUCAUGACACCCUCUCCUGGCCCCGAGGAGAGGCUUCUUCUGUUGCUUUUCCCAGGUGUCCUCCUUCUCUCACAGCAAUAAUGCCAUUAGCCUGGAACCACACGAGCCCAUUGCAUUGUGGCCACGGCCAAGGCUACAAAGCAAAUAGGAAGUAAAAACCCGAGCCUCAGGCUGGAUUUCAAGGGCUGCAGUGAUGUUUGUAAGCCUGCUCUGUCUCUGGUCGCAGUCGGCAUCCUGCUGUAAUCUCUUCUGGCAGUGCUGCUCCCGCUCACACCCAGGGAGGAGCUCCCCCUGCUCAUCACCGAUAGCAAAAGGGAGGGUCUCAGCAUUGCCUCCUCCUGUUCAAGGUGGCCACACUUGGCAGGAGCCGGCUCUGUAUGAGCUGCUAAAUGCUGUAAGUAGAUGAUUUCCAAGUACAAAUGAGUUCAGGGACUUGUGCUGAUCUCACAGUGCUUUCUGGGACACAACGACAAUCAAGAAGCAACUCCCCGCACUACUCCAGCCUGGCACACACACAUCCUGCUGCAUUGCCCUCUUUUCCCUGUCUGCCCGCUUGUCUCUUCAGCCAAGCUGACACAGACUCGUGGAGCAGCAGACAGGAGGUCCAGCAAGCCAACCCCAGAAGGCUGGGCAGCACACAGCAACCAACAGCCAAAGAACCCCAGGUCUGGCAGUGAGAUGCAAACCCUAAUCCUGGCACCGAGCCACAUAUUGCUGUGGGCAUCCUGUCCAGAUGCUGUGGAAAGGUCCAGUCGCAUCUCAGAGGUCAUCCAGUUACUUCCAGCUACUAGUGCCAGUGUCCUGGAACCUAAAGUCAGUGCUGCCAGCUGAGGAUGUGUGAUAAACCUUGCCAAGGGCAACAGCCUUUGCCAUUUGCUUGGACAUUUCCUUACUCACGUGGGCUUGUGUCCAGCAGUGGGCAUGAUCCUCACCUUUGAGGCAUUGUCUCCAGCAGAAACACCAAAACCUCACAUCAGUGUAGUGGUUUACUUUCAAGUAACUGUCCAGCCUAGGAAUGUCUCUGGAGCCAAUGCUCAUUUGGAACUCUCCACCUUGCAGAUAUCAGCCACACAGUUCUGCAGGUGAUAACCUCAAUCCUUUCUCAUCAGAUGAGAAGAAUUUUUCAGUCCUCAAAACACACUAAAAGAGCUGGUAAGAUUAAGAGCAGUUAGGGUUAACACCUAGGGUCCCCAUGGGAUAAUCAGGGAAGACAGGAGAUUGAACUCAAAGUGCUCAGAAACAGCAGCCCUGCUGUCUCUCCUGCAGGAACUCUCUCUCCUGACUGUAUUAACAGAAACUGGGCACUCUCAAUGGGCCCUGCAGCAGAAACAGAACCUACUGGCAGGUUCCUGCCUUCUGAGUAGAAGGCAGCAUUCAGCAGAAUACAGCAUCUCCAGGGAGGCCACAGUGGCAAAGCCUCAGGCAGUCAGCCAGCAGAACACAGAGAACAGGCACAGACUGCAAACCCGGAAGAGAGAGAAAAGCAAAAGCAUUGGAAAAAUUCAUCUGAUGAAAGGAUAAACCCAGAUGCUUAAAUUCUAUUCUUUCAUCAUCCUCACCCCUAUCCACGUGACUCAGUCCAGAUAAAUCCCAAGUUCCAUUCUCCUAUCAUCUUCACCUCUGCCCACAUGAUUUAGCACAGGUCUGCAGACCUUAAUAGGAGCCAUGAUGAGAGUCAAGGCACGAGAAGUCAUCUCUGGAAGGCAUCUGCCAAGUGAGUUUGUUCUCAUUUCAUGCACCAGCCUGAGGAAACCCUUUGUCCAUGCUCAUUUCUGCUUGGUGGAGAUUUCACAACAGCCCCAAAGCACAGAGGCUGAUGGCUGCUGCACCCAGCAGAGAUCCCCAGAGCAGGAUGCAAGGGGGAGCUCAACCACCUUGCAGCAGGUGAAUCAGAGCAUGCAGGAAGUGAAAGAUCUGUUUAUGUGCAAAGGAUAGAGCCGGAGAAGAGCUUGACACAACUGGCAAAGGAGAAAUCCCAAAGCAGAAGAAGGAGGGAAGGAAGGCCCCUGCCAGGUUUGUGGGAAGGGAAGCAACCUGUCAAUUAGCAUUUUUCCAGCGCUGAAGAGAGGGCAAGCUUUCCAGUGCCAGCAUCAGACCGGCCUCUCCGCCAUGCACAAUCCUCCACCGUUACAUAAUCACGAGUAAUGAGCUUUUGGAAAGCCCAUUUUUGUGCUCUCUUAACAGGAGAGGUAGUUCUGGACUGGCAGUGGUGGUACAGGCCAGGGUAAAGGUUAGCUCAGUCCCUGCUGAGCAUUUUCAGACACAGACAUCUGCACUGCCAUUUGACUCCUUCCUUCCCUGCUCACGGGUCCCCUUUGCUGGCUGCUUCAGCUGGAACGGGUUCAGAGCUGUGAGGAGGGCAGAUAUCACAAACAGCUUAAUCUGCACACAGCAAGGCAGCAAGGAGAUGCCCCUGCCCAGCAGACUGAUCUUCCUGAUAAGGAUCCCCUGGAGGUCUCUGUGAGAGCCUGCAGCACCUGCCUGCUGCCUAAUGGAUUUUCUAAGUAACGUGUUCAAGAUCUUGUUCUGUCAUUUGCAAACUACCACUUCACCUCUGAAGUACAGUGCUGGGUCUCCAGCAGCAGUGGAGAGUGAACCAGAGGCUGGUCCAGGGACCUGAACAGGAAAAGGAGACCAGAACACCUUUCCUUUCUCACAGAGUGAAAGCAAGGCAAGAAUUAACACAGCUACUGCUCCUGCCAGCUGAGGCCACGCACACCCAGGGGAAAGCUGUCACUCUCCUUUGAUGUUAGCAGGAGCCUCUGCUCUCUGCAUAUCCUGAAAAAGAAAAGCUAUUUUUACCUCAUCAAAAAAUACAUAGACUGUGACUGAAGACAAUACAUGAGAGCUCUUUGCUCAGGCACUACACCUCUUCUAAUAACAGAACAACACUUACAGCUGCCGAGAGAGAUGCGGCAGCAGAGCAGUGGCUUUCUCUCUCCUGCUUUCCUGAUGUACUGCCUUUUUUGGACCAUGACAUGGUUCAGGCAGGUCUGUGCAAUAAACACUGGGGAGCUGAGAGGGCUCCAGCAUGCUGACAGUGCAAGGGGGGAUCAGAGACAUGCUCUGAGCCUGCCUGAUGUCAGCCUGGGACUAAGACACAGCUUCUGGACCAGCCUCAACCUCACCUGGGCUCUGUCAGAGCCCUCAUGCUCAGGUGAGGCGCUGGAGUCCAGAUCAUACCAUCAGGAUCUGCCCUGGUGCCCUGUGGAGAAGCUUCCUUUUCUUUCCUAGUGAUGCUUAUAAACUGCUCCUGAUCUCUGCAGUCUGUUCUGACUCAUCCCCUACCUCUCCUCCAGCAGGACUACUCCACACCUGCUCUGCCUGCACGAACAAAAGUGCUUAGAAGGGGGAGAAGGGGGAUUUCUGCUGGGAUCUGCAUGCCGGGUGGCAUCACAGCACAGUCCCUGUGCUGUGCCUACCACAGAUUUACUGUCUGGAGCCUUAAGCCAGGCUUGCCUGGCCAGCACUUGGGGGGCAACCUCUGGAAGCCAUGCAGGGAAGAAAGCAUUGGCAGAAAAGCACCAGAAGCACAGGCCUGGUAAUAUAUCUCUGCCAGCAGAUCCCUGGUGAGGACAUGCAAGCAAAGCCCUUGCAGCACAGCCACCUGCUCCACAGCAGAGCCAGCACAGCACUGUGCUGAGAGAGAAACAUCAUCCUGUGCACCUGGCCCAGGGCAGAGAGGUGACGACACAGGAAUCAACAUUUACCACCACACUACUGCAAAAAAAAAAACACCUGGGGCACCUCCCUUCUCCCAGUA